GUUGUAGGCGCGAUGCCGUCGGUGAAAACGUUGCGGUGCCAGUUUGGACAUAUUUCUGUGGUCAGGUUGCAACUCUUCAAUCUCUCAUUAACGAUAUAAUGACAUGUGGAGGAAAAGAAACUAUUAGUAUGAAAAAGGAGACAAAAAAAGCCUCUUCUGAGAAUAUACCUGGUUACCCAUAGUGAGAAAACCAUCCACCAAAGAGCAUAGGCCUAGUGGUUACUCAGAAGUUGGUGUUCCUAAAAUCGGUGAGGGAACUAGCAAGAUAUUCCUGAUAAAAAGAGAACGAUAAAAGGCAGCCUUAUGAGAGGUCAAACCAUUUAUAACCAAAAGCAUGAUCUUCGUGACGUUUCCUCUACAGUAUCUAUCAG